UUUUCAUUUAUCUCCAUUUUUAUAGUAAAGUUUGCUUUCUUUCCUUUCCUUUUUUUCCCUUUUCCUUAUCCUCCUUCCCCCUCUUCCCUUUUUCUCUAAACAAGGCAUAUUUAGGUUUUUCACAUGUAUAAUUAAGCAAUUUUUGAACCUUUCACUUUCUCUCUGUUUAUAUACAGAUGACGUUUGUGGAUAUUAUAUGUUUUCAAAUUAC